rnacentral:rRNA from 1 species
UACGAAGGGUGCAAGCGUUAAUCGGAAUUACUGGGCGUAAAGCGUGCGCAGGCGGCUUUGCAAGACAGAUGUGAAAUCCCCGGGCUCAACCUGGGAACUGCAUCUGUGACUGCAAGGCUAGAGUACGGCAGAGGGGGAUGGAAUUCCGCGUGUAGCAGUGAAAUGCGUAGAUAUGCGGAGGAACACCAAUGGCGAAGGCAAUCCCCUGGGCCUGUACUGACGCUCAUGCACGAAAGCGUGGGGAGCAAACAGG